AGUGAACGCUGGCGGUAGGCCUAACACAUGCAAGUCGAACGGCAGCACAGUAAGAGCUUGCUCUUACGGGUGGCGAGUGGCGGACGGGUGAGGAAUACAUCGGAAUCUACUUUUUCGUGGGGGAUAACGUAGGGAAACUUACGCUAAUACCGCAUACGACCUACGGGUGAAAGCAGGGGAUCUUCGGACCUUGCGCGAUUGAAUGAGCCGAUGUCGGAUUAGCUAGUUGGCGGGGUAAAGGCCCACCAAGGCGACGAUCCGUAGCUGGUCUGAGAGGAUGAUCAGCCACACUGGACCUGAGACACGGUCCAGACUCCUACGGGAGGCAGCAGUGGGAAAUAUGGGACAAUGGGCGCAAGCCUGAUCCAGCCAUACCGCGUGGGUGAAGAAGGCCUUCGGGUGGUAAAGCCCUUUUGUUGGGAAAGAAAAGCAGCAGGUUAAUACCCCGCUGUUCUGACGGUACCCAAAGAAGAAGCACCGGCUAACUUCGU
rnacentral:rRNA from 1 species